GAUAAACUCAGAGUUUUUCCCACCAAAACACUUGGCAAUACCGUUUCUGAGAACUGGGCAAUAUUUGGACUUGAAACAAAUUGGAUCAAGAUGGCAUUAGUUGUCUACUCUAUGGUAAUACAUGCAGAGUCACAAUGCAUUGUUUCAUUUAUACACGUGUAAAUGAACAACUGCAGCAGUGAAGAAAGCAAAUGGUACGUUAGCAUUCAUAGC